rnacentral:rRNA from 1 species
AGAGUUUGAUCAUGGCUCAGGAUGAACGCUAGCUACAGGCUUAACACAUGCAAGUCGAGGGGAAACGACAUCGAAAGCUUGCUUUUGAUGGGCGUCGACCGGCGCACGGGUGAGUAACGCGUAUCCAACCUGCCCACCACUUAGGGAUAACCUUGCGAAAGUAAGACUAAUACCCAAUGAUAUCUCUAGAAGACAUCUGAAAGAGAUUAAAGAUUUAUCGGUGAUGGAUGGGGAUGCGUCUGAUUAGCUUGUUGGCGGGGUAGCGGCCCACCAAGGCAACGAUCAGUAGGGGUUCUGAGAGGAAGGUCCCCCACAUUGGAACUGAGACGCGGUCCAAACUCCUACGGGAGGCAGCA